UACGUAGGGGGCAAGCGUUGUCCGGAAUCAUUGGGCGUAAAGAGCGUGUAGGCGGCUCGAUUAGUCCGCUGUAAAAGUCCAGGGCUCAACCCUGGGAUGCCGGUGGAAACUGUCGGGCUAGAGUCCGGGAGAGGCGAGUGGAAUCCUGGUGUAGCGGUGAAAUGCGCAGAUAUCAGGAGGAACACCAAUGGCGAAGGCAGCUCGCUGGAACGGUACUGACGCUGAGACGCGAAAGCGUGGGGAGCAAACAGG
rnacentral:rRNA from 1 species